rnacentral:rRNA from 1 species
CCUACGGGUGGCAGCAGUGGGGAAUAUUGCACAAUGGGGGAAACCCUGAUGCAGCAACGCCGCGUGCGCGAUGAAGGCCUUCGGGUCGUAAAGCUCUGUCCUAGGGGGAGAAUACUGACGGUAGCGUAGGAGGAAGCCCCGACUAACUACAUAAGAGCAGCCUGGGUAAUACGUAGGGGGCUAGGGUUAUCCGGAGUUACGGGCCGUAAAGGGAGCGAAGGCGGUCAGUCAAGGCGUAGGUGAAAGGUUACGUCUCAACCGUAGUAAGCCUUUGAAACUGUAGGGCUUGAGUGCAGGCGAGGAGAGUGGAAUGUCCAGUGUAGCGGUGAAAUGCGUAGAUAUUGGGAGGAACACCAGUUGCGAAGGCGGCUCUCUGGACUGUUACUGACGCUGAGGCACGAAAGCGUGGGGAGCGAACAGGAUUAGAUACCCUUGUAGUC